GUUUCAGGCAUGUUCAAGUCUUUUAUACAGAGUCCAACUCAACUCAACUCAGCUCAAGUUCAAGUCUUCACCUUUUGUCACAGGCACUGGAGUAUUAACUCACCAAAAGCCAUGGAGCAAUUAACUUCCUUCCUGCCUCCUAUAAUGAGCACAACAACAUGUCCCUAGUGCACUUAAACAGCCAGAGGACAAGAAGCCCAGGAGCACCUCAGAGAUUCACUGAAAAAUUAACUCUGUGCGCGUCCAAACGACUGCCGGAGUGACACUUAGGAUCAGCGUUAUGAGGAAAUGUCAGGACAUUGACUGAAGUGCAGGAAGUGACUACAAGAGGGUGAAACGUCUGAGAAGUAGGGAACCAGGGUGAUGCUAACUUGUCUGGCCUCCAAAAAUGUGUCAUCACUGCGAGCCUCCAUUGCAGGGAGAGGCAACCUCAGUCCUGAAGUGCCGCCGUCCUGCAUAGUUUAGCGCAACACACACCUGAACAAGCUAAUCAAUGUCUUCAGGAUAACAAAGGCUACAGAACUAAAUAAUACACCCAGAUUUCCACAUCUCAUCCAUAAUUACCCUAGGGGCUGAUACAAUACAAGAGAGACACUGGGAAGAAGAAAGAAAGAGAACAGAGGAGAGAAAAUGAGAAACGGAGAGUUUAUGUGUUUAUUGUGAUGUGUGUGGAAGAUUUAAACUGUCCCACAGAAGGUUUGGAUCUGUCCCAUAGGUCCUUAUUAAGUAUUCAGUGACUCUAACUGUACGUGUGUAUUUGUGCGUGUGAACGUUGUCGAUGCAGGCAGAUGCUAUUUGUUUUUUUUUGUUUUUUUUGUUUUUACACAUAUGUAUAUCUAUGACAAACACUAAU